rnacentral:rRNA from 1 species
AACGAACGCUGGCGGCGUGUUUAAGACAUGCAAGUCGAACGGGUUGAAGUUGUAGCAAUACCGCUUCAACCAGUGGCGCACGGGUGCGUAACACGUGAGUUACAUGCCCUGCAGUGGGGAAUAGCCCGCCGAAAGGCGGAUUAAUACCCCAUGGUCCCGCAAGGGUAAGGGUGGCGAAAGCUGCCGCUGCAGGAUUGGCUCGCGGCCUAUCAGCUAGUUGGCGGGGUAACGGCCCACCAAGGCGACGACGGGUACCUGGUCUGAGAGGAUGAUCAGGCACACUGGAACUGAGACACGGUCCAGACACCUACGGGUGGCAGCAGUCGAGAAUAAUUCACAAUGGGCGAAAGCCUGAUGGUGCAACGCCGCGUGGAGGAUGAAGGUCUUCGGAUUGUAAACUCCUGUCAUCGGGGAGUAAGACCUGGGCGUGAAUAGCGCACAGGGUUGAUAGUACCCGAAGAGGAAGGGACGGCUAACUUCGUGCCAGCCGCCGCGGUAACAC